GACGAACGCUGGCGGCGUGCUUAACACAUGCAAGUCGAACGGAAAGGCCCCUUUUGGGGUACUCGAGUGGCGAACGGGUGAGUAACACGUGAGUAACCUGCCCUUGACUUCGGGAUAACUUCAGGAAACUGGGGCUAAUACCGGAUAGGAAUCCUUGCUGCAUGGUGGGGGUUGGAAAGCUUCGGCGGUUUUGGAUGGACUCGCGGCUUAUCAGCUUGUUGGUGGGGUAGUGGCUUACCAAGGCUUUGACGGGUAGCCGGCCUGAGAGGGCGACCGGCCACAUUGGGACUGAGAUACGGCCCAGACUCCUACGGGAGGCAGCAGUGGGGAAUAUUGCACAAUGGGCGGAAGCCUGAUGCAGCAACGCCGCGGGCGGGAUGACGGCAUUCGGGUUGUAAGCCGCUUUCAGCAGGGGCGAAGCUUGUGGUGACGGUACCUGCAGAAGAAGCACCGGCUAACUACGUG
rnacentral:rRNA from 1 species